rnacentral:rRNA from 1 species
AAAACUUUCAACAACGGAUCUCUUGGCUCUGGCAUCGAUGAAGAACGCAGCGAAAUGCGAUAAGUAAUGUGAAUUGCAGAAUUCAGUGAAUCAUCGAAUCUUUGAACGCACAUUGCGCCCCUCGGUAUUCCGGGGGGCAUGCCUGUUCGAGCGUCAUUGC